AGGUUUCAGGGGGUUUCUCACACCCUUCCAGGGGUAUGUGGUUUCUGUAGGCUUCUGUUUAUAGUUCACCACUUAGGUUCACGGUUGUUUUUUCAGGAGUUCAUACUGUCUCGCAGUCUGGUGUCUACAGCACAGCAGUAUUUGGCCCUGUUCCAAGCCCCUGCUCUCAGAACUGGGGCACCCGAGGUCGGAGGUCAGCCGUUAGCCAACUGCCUCCAGGCCCCUUCCACCGGCCCUCUAGGUCCGUCGCGUCAGUCUCAGAAAAGCUGGAACGUUGGGCCCGAUCCUGCUCUUCCCUUCCCCUCCUGCGGGACAAGCCACCAGUUGCAUGUUUCCUCCAACAGCUCUGAGCUGUGCCAGCUCAAGGGUAGUUUUCCAAGGCAUUCUGAAGUAUGGAAAUUCCCUCUGGAUCACUUCCCCUGAGACCUCAAAGGAUGAAUUCCCAGCUCUUUCGGCAGCAUGACACCUCCGUGAAUUUUCUUCCACCCACUGAGCCAUGCCCACAUACUCUCCAAUGAGAAUGUAAUCAUUAUUUAUUGUUUCUUCAAUCAUUUUGCUUUGGCAAAAUCUUCAUUCAACUCCUUCAGGUUGUUGACCUGUUAUAGUGACUGAAACAUUUAUUCUUGAAAGUUUUGAGUCCUCAUUUCUCGACCUUUUUUGUUGUUACUGUUCUCCAUUAACCUUCACUAUUAGGCAUGGAAGUUUUAAGAAACACUCCAGUGAUUCUUCUGGAUGUUGGAUUUGGAUAUCCUUGCCUCAGCUGUCUGUAGCAACUCAGUUCCCUCUAACUUUACCCUUAGAGCACUUCCUUUCUCUGCUUGUUGGUGAAAUUAAAGAGCUAAAAAUGACCAACCUUCACUUUUAUUUUCCAAUUCAGUGGAACCACUGAAGCAUUCCU
rnacentral:lncRNA from 1 species